rnacentral:piRNA from 1 species
UUAUCCAAGAGAGAAGGUGACAGGGAAAGU